GGUCACGUGGCUUAGUUGGUAAAGCACUCGUCUAGCAUACAUAAGUCCUGGGUUUGAAUCCCAGCCGAACUC
rnacentral:tRNA from 1 species